UGGCGGCGUGCCUAACACAUGCAAGUCGUACGAAAAAGAAAUUUUUAGUGGCAAACGGGUGAGUAACGCGUGAGAAUUUACUCUUAUGGUAGAGGAUAACUUUUAGAAAUAUUAGCUAAAACUCUAUAUGCUUUUAAUAAGUGAAAAAAGAAAUUUGCCUAAGAAAAAGCUCGCGUCUGAUUAGCUAGUUGGUAGGGUAAAGGCCUACCAAGGCGAUGAUCAGUAGCUGGUCUGAGAGGAUGAUCAGCCACACUGGAACUGAGACACGGUCCAGACUCCUACGGGAGGCAGCAGUGAGGAAUUUUCUGCAAUGGGCGAAAGCCUGACAGAGCAACGCCGCGUGAGGGAAGAAGGCCUUCGGGUUGUAAACCUCUUUUCUCAAGGAGGAAGAUCUGACGUUACUUGAGGAAUAAGCAUCGGCUAACCCUGUGCCAGCAGCCGCGGUAAUACAGGGGAUGCAAGUGUUAUCCGGAAUUAUUGGGCGUAAAGGGUCUCUAGGUUGAAACUUAAGUCUUUUGUUAAAUAUCAGGGCUUAACCCUGACUCUGCAAAAGAAACUAGGUUUCUAGAGUAUGGUAGAGGUUAAGGGAAUUUCCAGUGGAGCGGUGAAAUGCGUAGAGAUUGGAAGGAACACCAAAAGCGAAGGCACUUAACUGGGCCAUUACUGACACUGACAGACGAAAGCUAGGGGAGCAAACGAGAUUAGAUACCUCGGUAGUCCUAGCCCUAAACGAUGGGUACUAGAUGUUGGGUUUAUUACUCAGUGUCGUAGCUAACGCGUUAAGUACCCCGCCUGGGAAGUAUGCUCGCAA
rnacentral:rRNA from 1 species